AUUGAACGCUGGCGGCAUGCUUUACACAUGCAAGUCGAACGGUAACAGGCCGCAAGGUGCUGACGAGUGGCGAACGGGUGAGUAAUGCAUCGGAACGUGCCCAGUCGUGGGGGAUAACGCAGCGAAAGCUGUGCUAAUACCGCAUACGAUCUAUGGACGAAAGCGGGGGACCGUAAGGCCUCGCGCGACUGGAGCGGCCGAUGUCAGAUUAGGUCGUUGGGGGGGUAAAGGCUCACCAAGCCAUCGAUGUGUAGCUGGUCUGAGAGGACGACCAGCGACACGGGGACGGCGACACGGCCCAGACGCCGACGGGAGGCAGCAGUUGGGAUUUUUGGACAAUGGGCGCAAGCCUGAGCCAGCAAUGCCGCGUGCAGGAAGAAGGCCUUCGGGUUGUAAACUGCUUUUGUACGGAACGAAACGGUCUGGGUUAAUACCCUGGGCUAAUGACGGUACCGUAAGAAUAAGCACCGGCUAACUACGUGCCAGCCGCCGCGGUAAAAC
rnacentral:rRNA from 1 species